GAGGGGCAGCAGGGUAGCAAUACCGCUGGCGACCGGCAAACGGGUGCGGAACACGUACAGAAUCUACCUUUAUCUGGGGCAUAGCCCGAAGAAAUUCGGAUUAACACCCCAUAAGAUAUUAGAGUGGCAUCACUCAGAUAUUAAAUCUCCGGAGGAUAGAGAUGACUGUGCGUCCCAUUAGCUAGUUGGUAGGGUAACGGCCUACCAAGGCGACGAUGGGUAGCUGGUGUGAGAGCACGACCAGCCACACGGGCACUGAGACACGGGCCCGACUCCUACGGGAGGCAGCAGUGAGGAAUAUUGGGCAAUGGACGCAAGUCUGACCCAGCCAUGCCGCGUGAAGGAUGAAGGCGUUCUGCGUUGUAAACUUCUUUUAUUAGGGAAGAAACCUCCGUUUUCUAAUGGAGCCGACGGUACCUAACGAAUAAGCACCGGCUAACUCCGUGCCAGCAGCCGCGGUAAUACGGAGGGUGCAAGCGUUAUCCGGAUUCACUGGGUUUAAAGGGUGUGUAGGCGGAUAUUUAAGUCAGUGGUGAAAUCUCCAGGCUCAACCUGGAAACUGCCAUUGAUACUAUUUAUCUUGAAUUCUGUUGAGGUGGGCGGAAUACAUCAUGUAGCGGUGAAAUGCUUAGAUAUGAUGUAGAACACCGAUUGCGAAGGCAGCUCACUAAGCAGACAUUGACGCUGAGGCACGAAAGCGUGGGGAUCAAACAGGAUUAGAUACCCUGGUAGUCCACGCCCUAAACGAUGAUUACUCGACAUACGCGAUACACAGUGUGUGUCUGAGCGAAAGCAUUAAGUAAUCCACCUGGGAAGUACGACCGCAAGGUUG
rnacentral:rRNA from 1 species